UCCCUUAGUAGCGGCGAGCGAACGGGGAACAGCCCUUAAGCGCAAUAGGCGUUAGUGGAACGGCUCUGGAAAGGCCGGCCAUAGACGGUGAUAGCCCGGUACACGAAAGCGGCUAUUGCGUGAAAACGAGUAGGCCGGGACACGUGUUAUCCUGGUUGAAGAUGGGGGGACCAUCCUCCAAGGCUAAAUACUCCUGACUGACCGAUAGUGAACCAGUACCGUGAGNNNNNNNNNNNNNNNNNNNNNNNNNNNNNNNNNNNNGUGAAAUAGACCCUGAAACCGUAUGCGUACAAGCAGUGGGAGCCCUCAGAUGACGGCGUAUUGAUCUUCGGAUCGGUAUUAAGUCAACGAUGGGGGUGACUGCGUACCUUUUGUAUAAUGGGUCAGCGACUUACUUUCAGUGGCGAGGUUAACCGUAUAGGGGAGCCGUAGGGAAACCGAGUCUGAAUAGGGCGAUCAGUCGCUGGGAGUAGACCCGAAACCGGGCGAUCUAUCCAUGGCCAGGGUGAAGGUGGGGUAACACCUACUGGAGGCCCGAACCGGGUGAUGUUGAAAAAUCAUCGGAUGAGCUGUGGCUAGGAGUGAAAGGCUAAUCAAGCUCGGAGAUAGCUGGUUCUCCCCGAAAGCUAUUUAGGUAGCGCCUCGUGUCUCACUCUCGGGGGUAGAGCACUGUUUCGGCUAGGGGGCCAUCCCGGCUUACCAAACCGAUGCAAACUCCGAAUACCGAGAAGUGCAAUCACGGGAGACACACGGCGGGUGCUAACGUCCGUCGUCGAGAGGGAAACAGCCCUGACCUCCAGCUAAGNNAAGCAGCCACCCUUUAAAGAAAGCGUAAUAGCUCACUGGUCGAGUCGGCCUGCGCGGAAGAUUUAACGGGGCUCAAGUUGUGUACCGAAGCUGCGGAUGCGUGUAUUUUUCGAAAUAGGCGCAUGGUAGGGGAGCGUUCUGUAGGUCUGCGAAGGUCAAUCGAGAGGUUGGCUGGAGAUAUCAGAAGUGCGAAUGCUGACAUGAGUAACGAUAAAGGGGGUGAAAAACCCCCUCGCCGGAAGCCCAAGGGUUCCUGCGCAAUGUUAAUCAGCGCAGGGUGAGUCGGCCCCUAAGGCGAGGCCGAAAGGCGUAGCUGAUGGGAAACAGGUUAAUAUUCCUGUACCGCUGAUUACUGCGAUGGGGUGACGGAGAAGGCUAGGCCAGCCGGAGAUUGGUUGUUCCGGUUUAAGCGUGUAGGCAGUGUGCUUAGGCAAAUCCGGGCGCACAAUGCCGAGGCGUGAUGACGAGCUCUCUUUUAGAGCGAAGUGGUUGAUGCCCUGCUUCCAGGAAAAGCCUCUAAGCUUCAGGUAAUUGGAGACCGUACCCGAAACCGACACAGGUGGGCAAGGAGAGAAUCCUAAGGCGCUUGAGAGAACUCGGGUGAAGGAACUAGGCAAAAUGGUACCGUAACUUCGGGAGAAGGUACGCCCUUGUUGGUGAUGGGACUUGCUCCCUGAGCUGAAGGGGGUCGCAGUGACCAGGUGGCUGCGACUGUUUAUUAAAAACACAGCACUCUGCAAACACGUAAGUGGACGUAUAGGGUGUGACGCCUGCCCGGUGCCGGAAGGUU
rnacentral:rRNA from 1 species